GAACGCUGGCGGCGUGCUUAACACAUGCAAGUCGAACGAGAGGACAAGAGUAAGCUUGCUUCUUUUGGAAUCGAGUGGCAAACGGGUGAGUAACACGUAAACAACCUGCCUUCAGGAUGGGGACAACAGACGGAAACGACUGCUAAUACCGAAUACGCUUGGGAGACCGCAUGAUCUUCCAAGGAAAGGGUGGCCUCUACUUGUAAGCUAUCGCCUGGAAGAGGGGUUUGCGUCUGAUUAGGCAGUUGGUGAGGUAACGGCCCACCAAACCUACGAUCAGUAGCCGGUCUGAGAGGAUGAACGGCCACACUGGAACUGAGACACGGUCCAGACUCCUACGGGAGGCAGCAGUGGGGAAUCUUCCGCAAUGGGCGAAAGCCUGACGGAGCAACGCCGCGUGAGUGAUGACGGCCUUCGGGUUGUAAAGCUCUGUGAUCGGGGACGAACGGUCCGUAAGCCAAUACCUUAUGGAAGUGACGGUACCCGAAUAGCAAGCCACGGCUAACUACGUG
rnacentral:rRNA from 1 species